GGGAGGGAGAGUUUGAAGAAGGAAGAACCACCAAUAGAAAGCGGUCCCCAAAGAGGUAUCGGGGAUGGCACCCAGACAGGAGCACAUGUACCACUGCCCAGAAUGUGCAUUUCACUAGACAAGUGACCACAAAAGGCGGAGCACAGAGGACUUUUAGGAUGGUGAAGCUACCCAGUGAGAGACUACAAUGAGAUAAUUGGUCUUUCACAUUCCUCGUGCUGUCACCAAAAAUAACAGAGCAACAGCAGGGUGGAGGAAGAGCACCAGCACGGUGGAGGAAGAGCACCAACAUGGCAGAUAAAGAGCACCAACAUGGCGGAGGAAGAGCACCAACAUGGCGGAGAAAGAGCACCAACAUGGCAGAGGAAAAGCACCAACAUGGCGGAGGAAGAACACCAACAUGGCGGAGGAAGAACACCAACAUGGCGGAGAAACAGCACCAACAUGGCGGAUGAAGAGCACCAACAUGAAGCUAACCGCGUUCUCUUCACAGUUUGCCUUUCUUCCUCUUCUUCGUUGCUUUGACCGUCCUGCACAUAUCCAUUCUUAUGUCCAUCACCAAGACCUGAAAACCUCCACUGACUGGCUUCCCUACAGACUGAGAAUAUGGCAGAAAAGCUUAUAAAUCACAGCUGUGCAUUGUCCAA
rnacentral:lncRNA from 10 species